ACUUCAAUGUAGAUAGCUGUUUGGAAUAAAUAAUUGAAACAUCAUUGUAUUUUAUUCACCAGCGCCAGGCCUCGAAAGUACAAGUGUCCGAGAUGAGGGACACGCCAGAAGAAGGCAUAACAUAGACCUGAACAUGAGCGAGCUAGUAUUACCCAGAUUCUCCGAAAGAAGCUAGAAUCCCCGAUAUAUAGUGUUAUUAACGUUUUGGAGGGAAAGGGGAGACAAACUGACAGAACAGCGAUUCUUCCCCCUUUUCCUGCAUUACAGAUGGUGGAGCAAGAGGAAAGAUUCUUGGUACCUCAAAACUCAAAAACCGGCGUUUAGUGAACUAAAAUUGCAA
rnacentral:lncRNA from 1 species